GGUGCCAGAGAGAAAGCACGUGAGCUUCGCCUUCUGUGGCUCUGUGAUAUGGAAAAAUAAGAGCAGAGCCCCAAAAAGAUAGGAACAUCUGACAAGCAACCCUGGCGCGCCGAUUAGAAAGCAGAGCGGUCUGUAACAACUACGCAGUCAGAGCGAUUUUCAAGGAGGGCUCAGAGGAAGGGGCUGGUUUUGGACUGCGGCGACUUCCUGCAGCAUUCCCGGCUCACAAACGGAUUCAGGAUGAGCAAACAGGACGGGUAAAUAAUGCAACUCAUUCGCUAAGGGGAGAGAAAGUUACCCAACGAGCCAACAGCAGCCUCCCUUCUCCUCGUCCCAGCACACCCCCAACGGGUUGUUCUGGAUUUGCAAGGGACUCAGUGGUAACAUGCAAGAUCAAAAAGAGAAAAACAUAACAGGCAUGGAAAGUUAAAGAACGAGAGUCCAAGUGAAAUUUAAGCCACGGAUUGAACUUUUUCUCCUCUUCUUAUCACACUAAAACCUGAGUUCAACCACUGAAAUUGACUGGCAAAAGAUUCAGGGCAGACAAAAGGGGGUACUUCUUCUCAUGACACAUAAUUCAUUGAUGGAAUCCAUUGCCACCAGGUGUGGAGAUGGCCAUGAGCUUGGACGGUGUUAAAAAGAGAAGUAGGCUGCAUUCCUUACACUUACCUGUGAUGGGAGUAAGUCCCAUCAUAUUCAGUGGGACUUACUUCUACAUAGACAUUAUAGACAUGUUAAUAAAAGAUAGGUCUAUCAAUGGUUAUUUAGUUAUGGGGGCUAAAUAGGACCUCAGAGUUCAGAGGCAGAAUAACAGUUGCUGGAGGACACAUGGCAAGGAAGGGCUGUUGCUUUCAUGUCGUGAAUUAGGCUUCCCAAAAACAUCUGGCUGGCAACUAUGGGAAAUAAAACACUGGACUAGAUGUCUGUCUAGCAGGGCUCUUUCUACAUUUUGUAACCAUAUCACUGGAUAGAUCAUAUAUUACAUUUGUAUCUCACUCUUCCUCUAAUGAGCUAUGGGUAAUGUACAUAGGUUGCCCCCAUUUUAUUUUCAAACCCACCCUAUGAGGUAGGUUAGGCUGAGCAGCAGUGACUGGCCCAAAGUCCCUGAUGAGUUUCACAACUGAGCGGGGAUUUGAACUCAGGUCUCUACAACAACCUUUCCCAACCUUUGGAUCCCCAUAUGUUGUUGGACUACUCCCAUUAACCCUAGCCAGCAUGCCCAACGGUCAGGGAUGAUGGGAGCUAGAGCCUAACAACAUCUGGAGAGCCACAGAUUCCCCAUUCCUUGCCCUAGGUAUUCCUCCACAUUGGUUUUCUAUGCAACAAUUGCAGUUACCAUGUAAAACCAUCAAAUCGUAAUGAUUAAAUGAAAAGUAUUUUAAAAUC